rnacentral:rRNA from 1 species
AGAGUUUGAUCAUGGCUCAGAAUGAACGUUGGCGGCGUGGAUUAGGCAUGCAAGUCGAGCGAGAACCCGCAAGGGGGACAGCGGCGAACGGGGUAGGAAUACGUAGGUAACGUACCCUCGGGGCGAGGACAGCCACGGGAAACUGUGGGUAAUACUCGAUAAACUUCCCAAUCAUUAUCGGAGGGGAAGCAAUGGGUGUGAUUCCACCUGAGGAGCGGCUUACGCAGUAUCAGCUAGUUGGUGAGGUAACGGCUCACCAAGGCUACGACGCUUAGGGGGUGUGAGAGCAUGGCCCCCACCACUGGCACUGAGACACUGGCCAGACACCUACGGGUGGCUGCAGUCGAGAAUCUUCGGCAAUGGACGCAAGUCUGACCGAGCGACGCCGCGUGUGGGAUGAAGGCCUUCGGGUUGUAAACCACUGUCAGAGGGGAUGAAGUGUACGAGAGUUAUCUCUUGUAUUUGACAGAGCCUCAGAGGAAGCACGGGCUAAGUUCGUGCCAGCCGCCGCGGUAAUAC